rnacentral:rRNA from 1 species
GCUAACAUGGAGCGAGGAGACGCGGUGAGAGUGGUGUUGGAAGGUUUAAUCGGAAGUACGGGGCGGAAAGCGCGCGUAGGCGGUUUGUUUAGUCGGAUGGGAAAGCCCCGGGCUCAACCUGGGAAGUGCAUUCGAUACUGGCAGGCUAGAGUAUGGUAGAGGGAAGUGGAAUUCCGGGUGUAGCGGUGAAAUGCGUAGAUAUCCGGAGGAACACCAGUGGCGAAGGCGGCUUCCUGGACCAAUACUGACGCUGAGGUGCGAAAGCGUGGGGAGCAAACAGGAUUAGAUACCCCAGUAGUC